CCUACGGGGGACAGCAGUGAGGAAUAUUGGUCAAUGGGCGGGAGCCUGAACCAGCCAAGUCGCGUGAGGGAAGAAGGUCCUAUGGAUUGUAAACCUCUUUAGUCGGGGAGCAAUGCCGUGCACGUGUGCACGGGGGGAGAGUACCCGCAGAAAAAGCAACGGCUAACUCCGUGCCAGCAGCCGCGGUAAUCAGGAGGAUGCGAGGGUUAUCCGGCUUGAUUGUGUUUAACGGGUGCGUAGGCGGAGUGUCAAGUCAGCGGUAAAAUGUCCGGGCUCAACCAGGGCCUGCCGUUGACACUGGCGUUCUUGAGUGGGCGAGAAGUAAGCGGAAUGCGUGGUGUAGCGGUGAAAUGCAUAGAUAUCACGCAGAACGCCGAUUGCGAAGGCAGCUUACCGGCGCCCGACUGACGCUGAGGCACGAAAGCGUGGGGAUCGAACAGGAUUAGAUACCCUUGUAGUC
rnacentral:rRNA from 1 species